UGACAUUUUAAGGAUCAAGGAUUAUCUGU
rnacentral:piRNA from 1 species